rnacentral:rRNA from 1 species
GAUGAACGCUGGCGGCGUGCCUAAUACAUGCAAGUCGAGCGAACGGACGAGAAGCUUGCUUCUCUGAUGUUAGCGGCGGACGGGUGAGUAACACGUGGAUAACCUACCUAUAAGACUGGGAUAACUUCGGGAAACCGGAGCUAAUACCGGAUAAUAUUUUGAACCGCAUGGUUCAAAAGUGAAAGACGGUCUUGCUGUCACUUAUAGAUGGAUCCGCGCUGCAUCAGCUAGUUGGUAAGGUAACGGCUUACCAAGGCAACGAUGCAUAGCCGACCUGAGAGGGUGAUCGGCCACACUGGAACUGAGACACGGUCCAGACUCCUACGGGAGGCAGCAGUAGGGAAUCUUCCGCAAUGGGCGAAAGCCUGACGGAGCAACGCCGCGUGAGUGAUGAAGGUCUUCGGAUCGUAAAACUCUGUUAUUAGGGAAGAACAUAUGUGUAAGUAACUGUGCACAUCUUGACGGUACCUAAUCAGAAAGCCACGGCUAACUACGUG